rnacentral:lncRNA from 1 species
AAGCUAAGCGGCGCUGGUGAAGCGGCUCAUCAGGUCUAUCAGGAAACCUGAGAAUUGGAGUGAGAAUCCCAGUGUGGAAAAUCAGGAAAGAGGCUGGUAUGAGCGACAGAGAAGUCAUUCAGGAAAGAGGUUAUUGAAUUCAUUGGAGAAUGAAUGCUGUUCUGAAUUUGGCUAUGAAGUUUGUGAAUUUUUCCAAAUUGUCACAAUCUCCAAAAAAUUUUCCAUUAUAUUUACUGAAAAAAAUGCAUACAAGUGGACUCAUGCAGUUCAAACCCAUGGUGUUCAAAGUAUCCUAAGGGAAAUACCACAAAAUGUCUCAGAAAAUGUUGGUUGGAUAUCUAAAGUUUAAAAAGGAAGAGAACCACACCAGCUGGAGAUUAAAGAAGCAUCAGUAGAAUAUCUUAAGGGAAAUACUACAAAAUGUCGCAGAAGGUGCUGGAUGGAUAUCUAAAGUUCAAAAAGGAAGAGAACCACACGAGCUGGAGAUUCAGGAAGCAUCAGUAGAAGUCAAUGGCCAUUAAUAAAAACAUUUUUUAUUAAAAUAUUGAAUCUGAAUAGAAACCUCCUGUACUUCAUUUCUUAAAUCCCUUGAGGGUAGUAACUGCAUCUUCUCCAUUGAUAUAGCCCCUGCCAAGCACAGUGCCUGAAGGCAGGUCCACAGACAUUGGCUGAAUAAACGAGUGCUCUGUUCCCAGUCCGUACUUUCUCUGUGUCAUAAAAAAGCUGACAUGUCUGUGCUGCAUUUGAGGAUGACACUGGAUUUCCACAUUGCCUUUUCGCCUCAGAGCUUAUAUUACUUCCUAUCAAGUUAUCUCUCUGCCCCUCAUCGCAUCCCAGUGAGAAAGCAGAAAAUCCUAGAAAGUCAUUUUCCUUACUGUUCCGGUGGUGGCUCUUCACGCUUACAGAACGUUAGGUACACUGGGAACAUCACCUAGAGGGACACUGACAUCACCUCAUCAUAACAUAUGUCUCUGACAACUGUCAGGAGAUAUUCCAAGUAAAUGAAAAGACACCGUGAAUGCCACUUAGGGGUUCUACACAGGGAACUAUUAGUGACAAAAGCCUAUUUAUUCUCUUUGAGAUGGUAUGCUGGUGACCUCUAGUGGCAAAAUUGGUUCAAAAUCAGCUUCUAUUUCCCACAAAAUUUACUUCUUUAUUAAUUCAUACUUUAAUUUUAUCCUUUAGUAACAUUCUCUACUUGUGGAAUGUUCUUAAUUAUGCACAAUGAUUUGUGUCUGUUCAUAUCCAAGUAGCACAAUUUUGGCAUUUCACGAAAUCACAGAACUGUUGAGCUGAAAUAGUUCUCAAGGGACCUGUCAGUCUUAUUUCAUUAUACCUGGAAAAUGAGACCCAGAGGAGUCAAGUGGCUUGCCUGAAGCCUCACCACAAGGGGGCGACAAAAAGUCUUCUGACUCUAGCACACUGCCUGCCUGGUAGUAGAACCCAAGCGACUAAAGAAAAAAUGGGAUCUUGUUUAGAGUUCCAUGCGGAGGAAGAGCAUGUAUGCUGUCCUAUCCCUCACUAUUGUAUCCUGGGUGUGUGAGGAGCCUUUAAUUCACAGGUCUUUAGAGAGAGUAC